rnacentral:tRNA from 1 species
GGUGGGUUGGCCGAUUGGUCAAGGCGAUGGACUUAAGAUCCACUAGGGACAAUCCCCGUGUGGGUUCAAACCCCACAUCCGUCA